rnacentral:rRNA from 1 species
AGGAGCUUGCUCCUCUGACGUUAGCGGCGGACGGGUGAGUAACACGUGGAUAACCUACCUAUAAGACUGGGAUAACUUCGGGAAACCGGAGCUAAUACCGGAUAACAUGUUGAACCGCAUGGUUCAACAGUGAAAGACGGUCUUGCUGUCACUUAUAGAUGGAUCCGCGCCGCAUUAGCUAGUUGGUAAGGUAACGGCUUACCAAGGCAACGAUGCGUAGCCGACCUGAGAGGGUGAUCGGCCACACUGGAACUGAGACACGGUCCAGACUCCUACGGGAGGCAGCAGUAGGGAAUCUUCCGCAAUGGGCGAAAGCCUGACGGAGCAACGCCGCGUGAGUGAAGAAGGUCUUCGGAUCGUAAAACUCUGUUAUUAGGGAAGAACAAAUGUGUAAGUAACUAUGCACGUCUUGACGGUACCUAAUCAGAAAGCCACGGCUAACUACGUGCCAGCAGCCGCGGUAAUACGUAGGUGGCAAGCGUUAUCCGGAAUUAUUGGGCGUAAAGCGCGCGUAGGCGGUUUUUUAAGUCUGAUGUGAAAGCCCACGGCUCAACCGUGGAGGGUCAUUGGAAACUGGAAAACUUGAGUGCAGAAGAGGAAAGUGGAAUUCCAUGUGUAGCGGUGAAAUGCGCAGAGAUAUGGAGGAACACCAGUGGCGAAGGCGACUUUCUGGUCUGUAACUGACGCUGAUGUGCGAAAGCGUGGGGAUCAAACAGGAUUAGAUACCCUG